rnacentral:rRNA from 1 species
AAACCAACAGGGAUUGCCCUAGUAACGGCGAGUGAAGCGGCAACAGCUCAAAUUUGAAAUCUGGCCCUAGUGGUCCGAAUUGUAAUUUGUAGAGGAUGCUUUUGGCACGGUGCCUUCUGAGUUCCCUGGAACGGGACGCCAGAGAGGGUGAGAGCCCCGUACGGUUGGACACCUAGCCUAUACAUAGCUCCUUCGACGAGUCGAGUAGUUUGGGAAUGCUGCUCUAAAUGGGAGGUAAAUUUCUUCUAAAGCUAAAUACCGGCCAGAGACCGAUAGCGCACAAGUAGAGUGAUCGAAAGAUGAAAAGCACUUUGAAAAGAGGGUUAAAUAGCACGUGAAAUUGUUGAAAGGGAAGCGUUUGCGACCAGACCUUUUCCUGGCGGAUCAUCCGGUGUUCUCACCGGUGCACUUCGCCUGGCUUAGGCCAGCAUCGGUUCUCUUAGGGGGAUAAAGGCCGGGGGAACGUAGCUCUCUAGGGAGUGUUAUAGCCCCCAGCGUAAUACCCUUCGGGGGACCGAGGACCGCGCUUCGGCAAGGAUGCUGGCGUAAUGGUCGUCAACGAC